rnacentral:rRNA from 1 species
UACAGAGGAGCCAAGCGUUGUCCGGAUUGACUGGGCGUAAAGCGCACGCAGGCGGAUGCGCGCGUGGGGUGUGAAAUCUGGCCGCUUAACGGCCAGGCGCCAUCCCAUACGGCGCGUCUGGAGUGAUGCAGAGGUCGAUGGAAUUGCCGGUGUAGUGGUGAAAUGCGUAGAUAUCUGGAGGAACACCGGUGGCGAAGGCGGCAUCCUGGACCGGGAUUGACACUGAGGCGCGAAAGCCAGGGGAGCAAACGGG